CUGUAGUUGUGUACGAGAAGCUUCUGGUCGGCGGGGGUGGCGGUGGAUGUGGACAUUACUCCGGCGAGGUCUGCUUCCGACGAACCACCAGGAGAAGUGAAUGACGAGCUAGGUGGGACGACAGAAUCAACAAUUAUCUGAUACCAGAAGUGCAGGUCUACAACAUACAAGCUCAACAACCCUCCUGAUGAUCAGAAUCUUCCAGGUAACUAGUAUCCUAACAGCUCAAUCUGUGGCCUCAUAUAAAAGGAGGAGAAAAGGGUAGAGAUGAUAGUCAAUCAUUCCAUGGUGCACACAUUCAUGCAUGCACACACUACUCGUUGCACUUUUAUCCUGCCUUUUCUUGCUCUCUAUCUAGCCAUUCUCUUUAGGAACAGUUUUUGUGCAUGCCGUGUCUCUUUAUGGCAGGCCAUGUCCAUGUAAGACUGGGCAAAGUCCAUGCACCACUUGAGCUAGCUAGCAGAUGAAGUGGUGGCGUGGUGCUGGUGGUGGCAUGGCGGCAGCAGCACACGUAGAGGUGGGGGUACCUAAUAAUCCCCGGAGAGGGGAGCCCACGGAUCAUACAAAGGGAGCUUCGAUCUGCGGGGCCGUCCGCUCGGGUGACGACCUGAUGACGCAGUUCUGCAUCUGCAUUCCAUUCUCUGUGACAAGGGAACAAGUCGACAGGAUCUCCAACGCUAGUACGAGUGUCCUUGCACUAUCAGCUCAGCUCCGCACAUGUUUCAUCUUCGUAUUCUUGCGUUAGGAGCACUUGGCUAGGAGUUCUACAUUCCCAUGGUUUGUUUUCUUCUACAUAGAUAGACAGAUCAAAGACUCUUGUGAGCCUGAAUUAAAGCUACCAACUACAGUACAUCCCUGGGUCAGAUAACAUGAUGAUAAUAAGCUAAAUUUGCAUGGGAAAAUGCUACUCUUUGCAUGGGUGCACAUAUGAAUUUUAAAAAAUGACGUUUUUCAACUUCUGAAAAAUUGUGAAGAAGUGCAUACUUGCAGAGUAUGGAUAGAAACUUGUCUUUGCAUUUUUUUUUGUAAAACAAAGGCCACCUAUGGCCUGCAAAAAAAAAGCCUUUUGUGUUGGAAUUUUUUAUAGUUUCGCAUACCUACGACCUGCAAAAAAAACUCUUCACAACAAAUGAAGUAGCCUUUUUGUGUUAGGAGUUUUUUUUUGUUUCACACAGUUCACAAAUGAUCAUAUUUUUUUACCAAAAUUUAUAGGCACAAAUUUCUAGUAUUAUUUACAUGUAUGUUUUUUUUAACUUUUCAAAACUUAGAGAAUGCGAUUCCUUUUCUAAGU